GGAGAGGUGCCCGAGAGGCCGAAGGGGCACGACUGGAAAUCGUGUGUACGCCCACAAGGCGUACCGUGGGUUCGAAUCCCACCCUCUCCGCCA
rnacentral:tRNA from 1 species